rnacentral:rRNA from 1 species
GACGAACGCUGGCGGCGUGCUUAACACAUGCCAGUCGAACGGAAAGACCCUGCUUUUGUGGGGUGCUCGAGUGGCGAACGGGUGAGUAACACGUGAGUAACCUGCCCUUGACUUUGGGAUAACUUCAGGAAACUGGGGCUAAUACCGGAUAGGAGCUCCUGCUGCAUGGUGGGGGUUGGAAAGUUUCGGCGGGUGGGGAUGGACUCGCGGCUUAUCAGCUUGUUGGUGGGGUAGUGGCUUACCAAGGCUUUGACGGGUAGCCGGCCUGAGAGGGUGACCGGCCACAUUGGGACUGAGAUACGGCCCAGACUCCUACGGGAGGCAGCAGUGGGGAAUAUUGCACAAUGGGCGGAAGCCUGAUGCAGCAACGCCGCGUGCGGGAUGACGGCCUUCGGGUUGUAAACCGCUUUCGCCUGUGACGAAGCGUGAGUGACGGUAAUGGGUAAAGAAGCACCGGCUAACUACGUG